AGAGUUUGAUCAUGGCUCAGGACGAACGCUGGCGGCGCGCCUCAUACAUGCAAGUCGAGCGUGAAGCGGGACUUCGGUCCCGUGGAAAGCGGCGAACGGGUGCGUAACACGUGAGCAACCUGCCCCGAAGACUGGGAUAACCCGGGGAAACCCGGGCUAAUACCGGAUGUCCUCCUCCAAUCGCAUGGUCGGAAGAGGAAAUGUUCAGGCGCUUCGGGAUGGGCUCGCGGUCUAUCAGCUUGUUGGUGGGGUAACGGCCUACCAAGGCGACGACGGAUAGCUGGUCUGAGAGGACGAUCAGCCACACUGGGACUGAGACACGGCCCAGACUCCUACGGGAGGCAGCAGUAGGGAAUCUUGCGCAAUGAGGGAAACCUUGACGCAGCGACGCCGCGUGCGGGAUGAAUGCCUUCGGGUUGUAAACCGCUUUCAGCAGGGACGAAAUUGACGGUACCUGCAGAAGAAGGCCGGCCAACUACGUGCCAGCAGCCGCGGUA
rnacentral:rRNA from 1 species